GCCUUGGUGGCACAACGGUUAAGCACUUAGCUGCUAACCAAAAAAUCGGUGGUUCGAACCCAUCCAGUGGCU
rnacentral:tRNA from 1 species